AUUUGAUUUGGCUCUCCCCAGAUUGUAACAAUUGUGGAAGAGGCAUGAAGAAAGAGAACUUCAUGCUUGCAAAACAAAGUGAGGGACAUCAUCUGUCAAUCAAGGUGAAGAUUCCAAAUGGAAUGUUCCCAGGAAAGGCAGUUGGAGCCUGGCCAGAGGAAAUGAACUGCGAGACUUCUUCUCUGGGGUUCUGGAUUUGGCUCUCCCCAGAUUGUAACAAUGAAGGUACUUAGCUCUUCCUUUAUUGUGAAGAUUAAAUUGUAAUCCCAUGACUACUUUUAUAUUUUAAUCCCUAAAGUGUAAACCCAGUACUUAAAGCAGAUCUACCCAUUUUAACCACAAAAAAGUAUGAACUAACCACAAAAGGUGUAAACUAACCACAAAAAGGUAUUAAAUACUCAUUUCAUACAUUGAGUGGGAAGUCUGUGACCCAUGUGUGAAAGAGUGGACAGUCCUGGAGAGGAGCAUCUGCUGUGAUUGGUAGACAUAAAAUUUAGGGGAGGUAACACAAGAGAAAAAGGUCUUUAAAUAGUGGAAACAGAGACACAAAGAAAUACUGGGGCACUUGGAGUUGGAUUGGAAGAUGAUCAGUCACUCGAACUGGACUGGAAGAUAGACUUUCUGGAUGGAGUAAAGAGAAAGAGUAAAGAGAGACUCUUGGACUUGGAGUGAAAGAGGCAGUCACUUGGGCUUGGAGUGAAGAGAGUCACUCAGAGUUGGAGUGGAGAGAGACACUUGAGGGGAGACUGGAAGACAGACACUCAGACUUGGAGUGAAGACACUUGGCUGUGGAACUGGACCCCUGGAGGAGCACACGCAGGAGACCUCAGACUGCUUUCCUGUUAGAUGGUUAUUUUGCGGAGAUGUGGCUGGUGGCAGCAUGCUGGGCAUCUUGGCAUUUUGGCGUUCUUGCAGCUCUUGUCCAGGAUUGGUGUGAGCAUGCUAGGGAUAGGUUUUGGCCUGAUGAGAACCCCCUGCCAGGAAAGCCCUCCUAUUGUCAUCAAAGGAAUGAGUAAAAACAAUCAUCAUAGAACCCGAAGAGGUGAGCUCCCCAGGUUUGGACCACUUCAAACCCUAGAGCUGGGCAUAGGACAAAAGAUGGACAUCCGGAUGUCCAGCCAGCAGUUUGAUGAUGUGGCAAAUUCAAGUGAGGGCUACUAUCUCCAU
rnacentral:lncRNA from 1 species